rnacentral:rRNA from 1 species
CGAGUGGCGAACGGGUGAGUAAUAUAUCGGAACGUACCCUGGAGUGGGGGAUAACGUAGCGAAAGUUACGCUAAUACCGCAUACGAUCUAAGGAUGAAAGUGGGGGAUCGCAAGACCUCAUGCUCGUGGAGCGGCCGAUAUCUGAUUAGCUAGUUGGUAGGGUAAAAGCCUACCAAGGCAUCGAUCAGUAGCUGGUCUGAGAGGACGACCAGCCACACUGGAACUGAGACACGGUCCAGACUCCUACGGGAGGCAGCAGUGGGGAAUUUUGGACAAUGGGCGAAAGCCUGAUCCAGCAAUGCCGCGUGAGUGAAGAAGGCCUUCGGGUUGUAAAGCUCUUUUGUCAGGGAAGAAACGGUGAAGGCUAAUAUCCUUUGCUAAUGACGGUACCUGAAGAAUAAGCACCGGCUAACUACGUGCCAGCAGCCGCGGUAAUACGUAGGGUGCAAGCGUUAAUCGGAAUUACUGGGCGUAAAGCGUGCGCAGGCGGUUUUGUAAGUCUGAUGUGAAAUCCCCGGGCUCAACCUGGGAAUUGCAUUGGAGACUGCAAGGCUAGAAUCUGGCAGAGGGGGGUAGAAUUCCACGUGUAGCA